CUUACACCACCGACCUGUGCCCGACCGUCCUCUGUUCGCAUUGCGAAUUCAGAGUUGAUGGUCGAGGCAGCUCGAUUUCCUAUGGAAUCAUCCUUUUCGUCAUGAUGUCAGUCCAAAUCACAGGUCGCAGAGUAACCAAACUCAGCGCGCCUGAGUUCGCCCUCGGGCUGAGCUCGGCACGCUGUAUUUGGAGACCGUAUAUUCCAAAGCCACAGCUGAGAUCUUUGAUUUAUGAGGUGGGGGAAAACCAUACGAUGUCUACAUAA
rnacentral:sRNA from 1 species